AUGGUGACGAUUCAGAGGUGCACGUGUCUGGGUGCAGUGAGGGCACGAACCUGCGGCUGCCCCUCUGCCUGGCCCGGCCCAGCCUGGCUGCCGCUGCACAGCCGCCGUCGCCAUCGGGGAAGUCGUGCGGAGCCAGCGGGCCUGGGCAGAGCUGGCACCCAGGGGGUUAGCAGGCUCCCGAGGAGACAAAACACAAAAAAAUUACGGGUGUGUGAAGGAGGCGCCGGGAAGGUUUUUUAAGGAGUCAGAACAUACGUCUUCACGCUUCGUUAGGACAGACAGCAAGGCGGAGGUAGGUUUAGGAGCUUGGGGGGCCGGGGACUGUAGUGCUUUGAAACACCGGUCUUCAGGGCUUGCAAGAGGAAAAUCGGCACACCAGUGGGGCGGUUGAUGUUGGAGCUUCUUGUAGCUCUCUUUAUGAUGUUGGCUGGCCUUCUCCCCUGCUUUCUCAGAAGCUGUCUCAACAUACCCUUUUCGGAGUUGAAACUCCCGGACGCAGGGAUUCGUAACCACUUUUUUUUUUUUUUUUUUUUUUAGUGUCACGGACAUGAGUUCUUUGAGAAGGUCACGAAAGCCCCGCCCCGUCUCCCCAGAAAACGGCUGCCUAUAAUUGCAGGGGGUUCAAGGUAUGGACAACACGCUAAAAACUCUGACUUAUUUCACCUUAAAACGUAAAUGCCCAGCCAUGCUCUCUCCUCCUUCUUCCUUCUCCCGAACCUCUCCGUUUCUCUGCCUAAAGCAGCGCCUGCAUGAAAUGGGGAAUAAGGACACAGCCAAGAGUGAGGCGGGCCUCCAGCGGCUCUGCUUCUAGAAUACUGUGCUAAAGGGGGCAAGCGGGCAGGUCUGAAAAGGAUCAGGGGCUAGGAUGCGGCCCCUGCCCUCAAGGGACUCCCGUCGGGUGGUGGAGAUCAGUUUCAAAACAAAUGGCAAAAUCCAGGUCGUGGCUCCUUUACGUGGUCACACGACAUCCUGAAUCCUCAACGAUGCAUAAUGUUUCUCAUACAAGGGAACGAGUGACAAAAGUUCCCAGGCAAAACAGAGCAAAAUCUUUGUAGAGAUUUCUCUGGCAGUUUCCGAGAGGGGGUGCAUUUCUGUUGAUUCAGUUCCUAGAAGUGGACUCGCGAGGUCAAAGGGCUUGAAUAUGGAAGUAUUUAAUAGAGGGACCACAAUUACCCUCUGGAAAAGGUCGCGUCGGUUUCGUACCUCCCCGGGGGAGCGGAUUUGGCACCCGGAUCAGAUUCUGGGCUGGGUGGGGGGGAGAAGGCUAGGAAGGGAGGAGGGGGACAGCGAAUUUUUCUUUCAGCCGUGUGGGCAGCUGUCCAAUUUCAUUUCGGUUCUCGGAGUUUUGCUUUCUUCAACGUGACUGAGUGUUGACGCUGGUUUGGAGGCGGGAACUUUGUGGCCUGGCCGGACGAGGAUCGCAGGGGUCGGGGCCACCACUGACCCACAGCCUUCGUGCGCGGUACCCCCACGGGAGCCAGGGGGGUCCCGGGUGUCACCUACGCGCACAUUUACAAACCAGAUACCUUCCUCUCAGGUGAACCCAGCUCUGAGCCAGGAUGUGAUAAGACAAGGGCCGGCUUCACUUUGGCCCCACUCACACCCUCGGCGGUGAGACUGUGCACUGGCCCGUCCACGGCAGUCCUGACCGCGGCUCCCACUCCUGGCUGUUGCCCUGACGGCAUCCACGUCAAGGGCCCGUGGUGCUGCUGCUCGAAGGACACAGCCACGCUCAAGGGCUGAGCAGAGGCCUUGGUGUCGUCGGCCUCGUCUCCCCUGCCUCCGCCUGCCGCCCGCUCCUGCUUCUUGCCCAGUGACCCCUCCUGCGUCCUGGAGACAAAAACAGCCCCAUUGAGGGAUUUUUGCUGGAACGUGCCCUCCCUCCAGUUAGAGCAGGUUUUGUGUUUAGCUUUGGUUUGGCGGCUUUUCAUUCUGGACGCAGUUGUGCUGGCCCCUCAGAGCCUGAGAGCCCCGGGGCCAGGGCCUUGUCGCAUUGGCCUAAACCCCGCUGGUGAUAAAGCUGUAGGAGUUCAUGCUGGCUGCUCCAGCAGAGACACUCUGAAAUCCCAGCUGCCUAACCCAGGAGAUUUUUAUUUCUGACUCACCAAGCAGUCUGAUGACUGUGUGCGGGGUGGUAAUUUAGGGACCCAGGCUCCUUCUCUCCCUCUCCUUUGCCAUUUAUUUAUUUUUGAGAGAGAGAGAGAGAGCGCACGAGCAAGAGAGGGGUCAAAGAGAGAGGGAAUCGGACCACAAGAUCAUGACCUGAGCCGAAAUCAAGAGUGGGAUGCUUAACCCACUGAGCCACCCAGGCGCCCCCUAGACGGCCUCAUUUUGACUUGUAAAUGCACCGCCUCACUUUCGCUCACCUUCUAUUGGCAGGAACAUGGGGCCUAGAGGCAGGAUUCCCUUGGAAAUACAUCCUUGGCUGGGUAGCUGUUCCUCAAACACAGCUUUUACACCAUGGAAAAGGAGCCCUGGACCGUGGUGGGCAGUGGGCUGUGUCUGCCAUGGGACUGAGCUGGGAACAAGCUUGCACUCCUGCCGCCUAGUUACCCUUCUGUUCCUGUGGGCAGAAGUCCUUAUACUUUAUCAAGCAAGAGGCUCUGCCCAAAGGUGACCUUUAUUAAUGCUUCAGAUAGGAACUGGUGUGGAGUGAAGAGCUUCACCCUUUCUUUGAUCGGAUUUACCUCUGUUCCUGCUCCAUGUGCUGGGCGUGGACCCCUCCCUAGUCUCUCUCCCCAGCCCAUUUCCUUUUUCCCCAAAUCUCCAGGCAGAGUCACAGGCAAAUUUGCCUGGGAACCAUUCAGGACCUCCCUCCCCCUUCUCCCUCCCGUUUUUUGUUUUUGUUUUUGUUUUUUUUUUUUGAUGAUUUUGGCUAGAGGGUGACCAGGGAGAGAAGGACUUCCAAUAAAGGCAGUUUCUUCUCUUCCUGUGUUUGCUGA
rnacentral:lncRNA from 1 species